rnacentral:rRNA from 1 species
AAUGGACGCAAGUCUGAACCAGCCAUGCCGCGUGCAGGAUGACGGCUCUAUGAGUUGUGAACUGCUUAUGUACGAGGGUAAACGCAGAUACGUGUAUCUGUCUGAAAGUAUCGUACGAAUAAGGAUCGGCUAACUCCGUGCCAGCAGCCGCGGUAAUACGGAGGAUUCAAGCGUUAUCCGGAUUUAUUGGGUUUAAAGGGUGCGUAGGCGGUUUGAUAAGUUAGAGGUGAAAUUUCGGGGCUCAACCCUGAACGUGCCUCUAAUACUGUUGAGCUAGAGAGUAGUUGCGGUAGGCGGAAUGUAUGGUGUAGCGGUGAAAUGCUUAGAGAUCAUACAGAGCACCGAUUGCGAAGGCAGCUUACCAAACUAUAUCCGACGUUGAGGCACGAAAGCGUGGGGAGCAAA